rnacentral:rRNA from 1 species
UCUCCGGAGCACGCCGCGUGAGUGAUGAAGGCUUUCGGGUCGUAAAACUCUGUUGUUAGGGAAGAACAAGUGCUAGUUGAAUAAGCUGGCACCUUGACGGUACCUAACCAGAAAGCCACGGCUAACUACGUGCCAGCAGCCGCGGUAAUACGUAGGUGGCAAGCGUUAUCCGGAAUUAUUGGGCGUAAAGCGCGCGCAGGUGGUUUCUUAAGUCUGAUGUGAAAGCCCACGGCUCAACCGUGGAGGGUCAUUGGAAACUGGGAGACUUGAGUGCAGAAGAGGAAAGUGGAAUUCCAUGUGUAGCGGUGAAAUGCGUAGAGAUAUGGAGGAACACCAGUGGCGAAGGCGACUUUCUGGUCUGUAACUGACACUGAGGCGCGAAAGCGUGGGGAGCAAACAGGAUUAGAUACCCUGGUAGUCCACGCCGUAAACGAUGAGUGCUAAGUGUUAGAGGGUUUCCNCCCNUUANUGCUGAAUUAACGCAUUAAGCACUCCNCCUGGGGAGUACGGCCNCAAGNCUGAAACUCAAGGAAUUGACGGGGGNCCCCNCAANCGGUGGAACAUGUGG